AAGGUAUCUUCUUUACGUUAACAAAUAGUAUACGAUGCAGAUCAGAUUGUGCCAAAUCUAAAAAUUACUUAAGAACACACAUAUGUCAAUUCAUAAUCAGCCAUGGUAUUAACAUAUGUGUGUGCUUAAGUAAUUUUUAGAUUUGGCACAAUCUGAUCUGCAUCGUAUACUAUUUGUUAGGAUUAUAUCUUAGGAAAAUUAGGAA